GGAUCCCCUGUAAGCAGCAAGUGGAUCGGAGUCCAUGGAGUAAGAGGUGCUGGAAAAACACUCUUGCCCAAACGCAUAUGUGACAACGACCAAGUCAAGGCCCAUUUUGAUCCAGUUCUGUGGCUAACAUUCAAUCAGUUGUGUCAGGUGGAAGCAAAGCAAGACGAACUUGCCAAACAAAUCGACUAGAAGAUCGUGUCAGCAAUGAAACAUUGAGGAGGCGGCUUGCAGGGAAGAGGUGCUUGCUGGUGUUGGAUGAAUCUGGCCAUCUUUUGGAUCUGUUUAAUGUGGUACAAGAGAAUGGAAGCAAGAUCUUCGUCACCACCCGAAAAUUUGAUAUGCUUGACAGCAUAGGUGAGAUGGGGCUUUUGGGAAAGGAAAACAGCUUGAAAUUGUGCCUUCCCAAACCAAAAACAUGCUCAGGGUCAAGUGAGAAUGGUAAUAACGGAGAAAGUUGUGGACAA